UACGUAUGGUGCAAGCGUUACCCGGAUUUACUGGGUGUAAAGGGAGCGCAGGCGGCGCGUUAAGCCUGGUGUGAAAGCCCGCGGCCCAACCGCGGGACUGCAUUGGGAACUGGCGCGCUGGAGUGCCGGAGGGGUAGGCGGAAUUCCUAGUGUAGCGGUGAAAUGCGUAGAUAUUAGGAGGAACACCAGUGGCGAAGGCGGCCUACUGGACGGUGACUGACGCUGAGGCUCGAAAGCGUGGGGAGCAAACAGG
rnacentral:rRNA from 1 species